rnacentral:rRNA from 1 species
GACGUAGGGCGCGAGCGUUGUCCGGAUUUAUUGGGCGUAAAGAGCUCGUAGGCGGCUUGUCGCGUCGUCCGUGAAAACCCGGGGCUCAACCCCGGGCUUGCGGUCGAUACGGGCAGGCUCGAGUUCGGUAGGGGAGACUGGAAUUCCGAGUGUAGAGGUGAAAUUCGUAGAUAUUCGGAAGAACACCAGUGGCAAAGGCGACUCGCUGGACAGACAUUGACGCUGAGGUGCGAAAGCGUGGGGAGCAAACAGG